rnacentral:rRNA from 1 species
CCUACGGGAGGCAGCAGUGAGGAAUAUUGGUCAAUGGUCGGGAGACUGAACCAGCCAAGCCGCGUGAGGGAUGAAGGUACAGAGUAUCGUAAACCUCUUUUGUCAGGGAACAAAGGCGGGGACGUGUCCCCGGAUGAGUGUACCUGAAGAAAAAGCAUCGGCUAACUCCGUGCCAGCAGCCGCGGUAAUACGGAGGAUGCGAGCGUUAACCGGAUUUAUUGGGUUUAAAGGGUGCGCGGGCGGUCUGUUAAGUCCGCGGUCAAAGCCCGGGGCUCAACCCCGGCCCGCCGUUGAAACUGGCAGUCUGGAGUUGGAGAGAAGUAGGCGGAAUGCGCGGUGUAGCGGUGAAAUGCAUAGAGAUCGCGCAGAACUCCGAUUGCGAAGGCAGCAUGCCGGCUCCACACUGACGCUGAGGCACGAAAGCGUGGGUAUCGAACAGGAUUAGAUACCCCUGUAGUC